rnacentral:tRNA from 2 species
CAGAAUGUAGCUUAAAUAAAAGCACUUAGCUUACACCUAAGAGAUUUCAGACAAAACUGACCAUUUUGA